rnacentral:rRNA from 1 species
UAGCGGAGGGGGCUAGCGUUGUUCGGAAUUACUGGGCGUAAAGCGCACGUUAGGCGGCUUUGUAAGAUUACGGAGGUGAAAGCCCAGGGCUUAACCCUGGAAUUGCCUUUAAGACUGCGAUCGCUAGAAUCGUGGAGAGGUGAGUGGAAUUCCGAGUGUAGAGGUGAAAUUCGUAGAUAUUCGGAAGAACACCAGUGGCGAAGGCGACUCACUGGACACUUACGUGAACGCUGAGACGGCGAAAAGCGUGGGGAGCAAACACGG